AUAAGGGACAGCACUGUUGUUGUAUGUCAGGAGAGCACGAGUCUGGACCCUGGAGUAGGCACCGGGACAGUCACUAAACUACAGCCUUUGUCAGCUUCAGUGCUCAACUGCUCCUCUAGUCUAGGGACCUACUGCUAUGGUCCAGGCCCGACCAGAGGAGCAGUGACGCAGCAGGGCAGUAAAGCUGAGCUGCUGGCAGCAGUAUGUCUGUUGGGGUUGCCUAGCUACUACUAUAUAUAGGGGCAUUGAGGAGAGGGGGCCUACAACUGUAUAAGGAGGCAGUAGAGGGGCCUACAACUGUGUAUAGGGGCAGUAUGGGGGCCUAUAACUAUAUAUAAACCCUGGGUGGUCUGAUGAAGCGCUAGCUGCGUGAAAUAGCUAUCAUCCUUGGCGUCCCACGUGUAUGUACCUGCUGUGUUAUGCUGCCGUUGGAAUAAAGUUCAGUAUUUUAUUGGAUUGGAAAUAUGGUCAGCCUAAUCAUGGAAAAUGUAGGCUUCGUUAUGAAAACCAUACCAGGGGGGAAGAAGGAAUCUAAAUGGCAGAAAACCUAUGAAUGCCACAUCAACUAAAAGAGGAGUCCAGUAGGCGGUCCUACUCCGUGACUGACAGCUUUCGUCUAUGACUGUGCAUGCAAAGAUAAGGACAACUUCUAAUGAUUCUUUUCUCACAAAUGUAUACAUCUAUCUGCUUAGCUCCUCCUGCUCUAUAACAGGAUGGUGGUAGAUCAGACUGCUUGGUGACCAUGAUCAGUUCCCUUUAAUAAGACCCUCACGUUCUUGAUAAAAAUUAACCAUUAAAUAGGGAAAGUAUAGUUAAAGAGUACCUCUCAUGAUCUUGUUACUUUUAUAAUCCUCCCAGCUCACUGCCCCCAUCAUGAUAAACCACCCCCUGCCUUUAUUUUUAUUAUUUUUUUAGUUUUCUACCUUGAUAUCGGUCUGUAUUUUCUGCUCAGUCCGAUUUACAGACUGGGAAGGGGCGUUACCCAGCAGGCAUGACAUCAUCUGAAGCCAUACAGGGGAGAACUUCCUCCCUCACUCUGCUACACACAGCCCAUAGCAGUUCAGUGUGAGAUAAGCUAUGAUUGGCUAAGGCUGCACACACACCCCUAAGCACUCCAGACUGCAUUUCCUGAUUUUGGACUUCUGCUAGGCCAGUCUGUGAUAUUCUAUGGAAGAGAUGGGGGGAAAUGUGCUCUGGACAAGUAGGGAGACACUUAGUGGCAGCUUUUUUAGACCCUAUGAAUAGUGCUCUUGUGUAG